rnacentral:tRNA from 1 species
AACUUAGGCUGACCAAUGGCCUUCAAAGCCUUAAGUGAAGGUUAAAAUCCUUCAGUUUCUGUAGGACCUG